rnacentral:rRNA from 1 species
AUACGUAGGUGACAAGCGUUAUCCGGAUUUACUGGGCGUAAAGGGCGUGUAGGCGGUCUUGCAAGUCAGAAGUGAAAUUCCUGAGCCCAACUCGGGCGCUGCUUCUGAAACUGCAGGACUUGAGUGCUGGAGGGGAUAGCGGAAUUCCUAGUGGAGCGGUAAAAUGCGCAGAUAUUAAGAAGAACACCGGUGGCGAAGGCGACUUUCUGGCUGACAACUGACGCUGAGGCGCGAAAGCGUGGGGAGCGAACAGGAUUAGAUACCCUGGUAGUCCACGCUGUAAACGAUGAUUACUAGGUGUAGGGGGUAUCGACUCCCUCUGUGCCGCAGUUAACGCAGUAAGUAAUCCACCUGGGGAGUACGGUCGCAAGAUUAAAACUCAAAUGAAUUGACGGGG